AUGAACGCUGGCGGCGUGCCUAAUACAUGCAAGUCGAGCGAACGGACGAGAAGCUUGCUUUUAUGAUGUUAGCGGCGGACGGGUGAGUAACACGUGGAUAACCUACCUAUAAGACUGGGAUAACUUCGGGAAACCGGAGCUAAUACCGGAUAAUAUUUUGAACCGCAUGGUUCAAAAGUGAAAGACGGUCCUGCUGUCACUUAUAGAUGGAUCCGCGCUGCAUUAGCUAGUUGGUAAGGUAACGGCUUACCAAGGCAACGAUGCAUAGCCGACCUGAGAGGGUGAUCGGCCACACUGGAACUGAGACACGGUCCAGACUCCUACGGGAGGCAGCAGUAGGGAAUCUUCCGCAAUGGGCGAAAGCCUGACGGAGCAACGCCGCGUGAGUGAUGAAGGUCUUCGGAUCGUAAAACUCUGUUAUUAGGGAAGAACAUAUGUGUAAGUAACUGUGCACAUCUUGACGGUACCUAAUCAGAAAGCCACGGCUAACUACGUG
rnacentral:rRNA from 1 species